rnacentral:lncRNA from 1 species
GGGGGGUGGGGCGGGCCCACUUCUUCCGCCGGACUCGGAAUGGCGCGAGACUUUUGCGAGGCGCCUCCGUGUGCCAAAAAUAGGCCACGGGCACAGCCGCGCCCAAAUAUAACCGCCCGAAGGCCGGGGCGCCAAGUUCGUCCAGCGGAAAAAGGCCAGAAAAACGGGUGGGCUAUAGCCUUGGGGGGUGGGGCUGGCCCACUUCGUCCGCCGGACUCGGAAUGGCGCGAGACUUUUGCGAGGCGCCUCCGUGUGCCAAAAAUAGGCCACGGGCACAGCCGCGCCCAAAAAUAACCGCCCGAAGGCCGGGGCGCCAAGUUCGUCCAAUGGAAAAAGGCCAGAAAAACGGGUGGGCUAUAGCCUUGGGGGGUGGGGCUGGCCCACUUCGUCCGCCGGACUCAGAAUGGCGCGAGACUUUUGCGAGGUGCCUCCGUGUGCCAAUAAUAGGCCGCGGGCACAGCCGCGCCCAAAAAUAACGGCCCGAAGGCCGGGGCGCCAAGUUCGUCCAGCGGAAAAAGGCCACAAAAACGGGUGGGCUAUAGCCUUGGGGGGUGGGGCUGGCCAACUUCGUCCGCCGGACUCGGAAUGCCGCGAGACUUUUCGAGGGGCCUCCGUGUGCCAAAAAUAGGCCGCGGACAAAGCCGCACCGAAAAAUAACCGCCCGAAGGCCGGGGCGCCAAGUUCGUCCAGCGGAAAAAGUCCACAAAAACGGGUGGGCUAUAGCCUUGGUGGGUGGGGCAGGCCUACUUAGUCCGCCGGACUCGGAAUGCCGCGAGACUUUGCGAGGGGCCUCCUCGUGACAAAAAUAGGCCGCGGGCAAAGCCGCACCCAAAAAUAACCGCCCGAAGGCCGGGGCGCCAAGUUCGUCCAGCGGAAAAAGGCCAAAAAAACGGGUGGGCUAUAGCCUUGGGGGGUGGGGCGGGCCCACUUCUUCCGCCGGACUCGGAAUGGCGCGAGACUUUUGCGAGGCGCCUCCGUGUGCCAAAAAUAGGCCACGGGCACAGCCGCGCCCAAAAAUAACCGCCCGAAGGCCGGGGCGCCAAGUUCGUCCAGCGGAAAAAGGCCAGAAAAACGGGUGGGCUAUAGCCUUGGGGGGUGGGGCUGGCCCACUUCGUCCGCCAGACUCAGAAUGGCGCGAGACUUUUGCGAGGUGCCUCCGUGUGACAAAAAUAGGCCGCGGGCACAGCCGCGCCCAAAAAUAACCGCCCGAAGGCCGGGGCGCCAAGUUCGUCCAGCGGAAAAAGGCCAGAAAAACGGGUGGGCUAUAGCCUUGGGGGGUGGGGCUGGCCCACUUCGUCCGCCGGACUCGGAAUGGCGCGAGACUUUUGCGAGGCGCCUCCGUGUGCCAAAAAUAGGCCACGGGCAUAGCCGCGCCCAAAAAUAACCGCCCGAAGGCCGGGGCGCCAAGUUCGUCCAGCGGAAAAAGGCCAGAAAAACGGGUGGGCUAUAGCCUUGGGGGGUGGGGCUGGCCCACUUCGUCCGCCGGACUCAGAAUGGCGCGAGACUUUUGCGAGGUGCCUCCGUGUGCCAAUAAUAGGCCGCGGGCACAGCCGCGCCCAAAAAUAACGGCCCGAAGGCCGGGGCGCCAAGUUCGUCCAGCGGAA